ensembl:ribozyme RNaseP_nuc Nuclear RNase P
GCGGGAGGAAGCUCACUGUAGAGGUCACGCGCAGAGUGCCCGUCACUCGUCCUUUGAUCUCGGGGAAGGUCUGAGACACGAGCCAAUCGCCGCUCUCGCAGAGCGUCAUCUGACCCGGAUGAGCGAGCGCACAGACAACGUUGGGCCAGCGCGCGCGCGCUCCCGCACGAGACGCGGCGCGAGCGCAUUGAGCACGCGCGGCCGAUGCGGCGCGCGCACGGCUUGGAAUCGCUCGCGGCUGGCGGAGUGAGUGCGAUGUGUGAGCCGGUGCGCCGCACCGGAACCCAAUUCAGACUACUCUCCCCCCGC